GCUUAGACCACAAAGAGCUUUACAGUAACCCGGCUUAGACCACAAAGAGCUUUACAGUAACCCGGCUUAGACCACAAAGAGCUUUACAGUAACCCGACUUAGACCACAAAGAGCUUUACAGUAACCCGGCUUAGACCACAAAGAGCUUUACAGUAACCCGGCUUAGACCACAAAGCGCUUUACAGUAACCCGGCUUAGACCACAAAGAGCUUUACAGUAACCCGGCUUAGACCACAAAGCGCUUUACAGUAACCCGGCUUAGACCACAAAGCGCUUUACAGUAACCCGGCUUAGACCACAAAGAGCUUUACAGUAACCUCGGCUUAGACCACAAAGAGCUUUACAGUAACCCGACUUAGACCACAAAGAGCUUUACAGUAACCCGGCUUAGACCACAAAGAGCUUUACAGUAACCCGGCUUAGACCACAAAGAGCUUUACAGUAACCCGGCUUAAACCGCAAAGAGCUUUACAGUAACCCGGCUUAGACCACAAAGAGCUUUACAGUAACCCGGCUUAAACCGCAAAGAGCUUUACAGUAACCCGGCUUAGACCACAAAGAGCUUUACAGUAACCCGGCUUAGACCACAAAGAGCUUUACAGUAACCCGGCUUAAACCGCAAAGAGCAAGAAAAGAAGACAGUGAAGAUGUUAUCCUUAUGCAUUGGCCUAAUAGGCUAGAUUAAAGGAAAGUUAGAUUACCCAUCAUUUCUUCACUCAACACAACCUCCAAGUUUAAUAAAUGAAAUGCAUCAUUUCAGAAGAGUUUCUGUCCAACACAAUCAAGUAGUCUUUUUUUUGGUCAGAAUUGUUAUAUUCAGCAGCCUGCUGAUGAGCAACAAGCAACAGAUCCCACAGUACUCUAAUGGGUCAGGAAGUGACAAGGUUGUUUCACUUUGGACAACACAGAGUAUCAUUUCAUAUUUUUAAAUGUAAGGUUGUUUAACUAUACAAAUACUUUUUGAGAUCAAUCGACACUAACCAAAGAGUUUUGAUCAAAUUGAACAACUCUUGUUUAAAUUUUAACACAGAUGCCCACAUAGCCAAUCCUCAUGAGAAAAUACGCAAAUCCUCAAUAAACCCCCAAUCAAGAUUCAUUGAUUGACGGAUUGUAGAAGUGUGGUGGUUGUUAUCCCAACUAGUAGAGUGAGGACUGUAAGUGCUACAGGCUGAGCGGCAUUCAUAGGCAUGUUUCUGUUGCAGAGACUUCCCUCACAGCAGGACACAGAACCAGAGUCAGAACCGGAGUCAGAACUGGAGUCAGAACCGGAACCACACAUACUCUUGGAGACACAGCCUCGAAGAGUCACAGACCGACCAUUACUAGCUGUCAC
rnacentral:lncRNA from 1 species